rnacentral:misc_RNA from 1 species
AACACAUAUAAACACAUAUCAAUUUAUUUUUAUAUUAAAUUUGAAAUAUUUAAAAAAAAAUUAUUAAAGAGUAGCUAUCUGAUUAUACAACACAAGGGUGAUCAAAGAAUAAUGCUGAAGUUUUUGGUGAUGAUUUCUGAUUACUAUGGCAUCUCUGAAAAUAAAAUAAAAAUUAAGAGGAAAAAAAAUGCUAAAUGAUUCUUUGUUAAAUUUUAAAUAUAUAACUGAAAGCUGCAGAACUCAAACUUUAAAUUCUAUGUUUGGUAGCCCAUUACCACUGGAUGGAGUUGGGGAUUUCACCUUUUCUCAGGAUGGAGAGAGCAUAUUCAGCAGUGUUGAUAAGAUCAUUGAUGUUGUGGAGGGAUCUCUCCUCAGAAGCCAGCAUGAAGAUGGCACGAACUUCAGCCUUCUUAGCCAGUCUAGCAGCUAAAUUAAGAGGCAAAUUUGGAGAGUUGAGGCUGCGCAAUAUUUGGCGAUAAAGAGAAAUAACAUGUCCUCUAUUCCUUGCCAGAUCUUCAGCUGUUGCCCAUAUCAGACCUUUUGCCAUUACUGUUUCAGUUCAAUUGCAGCAGCCACGGCGAUGGCUUCGAGUUGGUGAUCGACCGCGACGGCGAGAGUGGGAGAGAGCAGUAAUGGUGAACGACAAUGGCGGUGGUGGCUUCUAAACCGACGGGCUUGUGGCUUGGAGGAAAAUCGUGAGACAGGUGGGACUAGCAGUUGUAAAUUAUAAAACAAAACGACGUAGUACAAGGCAGCCAAAAGCCAAAACUCUUGAUUUCUAACCCCUCAAACAAACAGGUUUUUGGAGAUGGCAGAGAAAACAUAGCAAAAAUGGAAGAAAAAGAGAAAAAAGCAAAGGAAGCAGUGAGGAAAGAUGGAAAGGAGCCAUAGCCAAUUUGACAGAGAUGGCAUUCAAUUUGGAGUCCCUCCACAAACUACUCCUCAAGAAAGCUGUCUUUGUGGAUGGAGAGACUUUCACUAAAGCUUCACUCAGUUCUGAACAAGCCCGUACCAUCAAGGUUCUUGAACAAAGGGUAGAGACUUUGGAAAGAGAACUUGAUGCUGCCAUUUCUGCUGCUGCCCGUGCUCGUGCAGAAAAGCGACAGGCAGAGGCAGCACAAAAAACUGCUGAAUUACGUGCACAAGAAAUUACAAGAGAACUUGAGAACACCACCAGUAUGUUUGCUAAAUCUUUAUUUUUCAAUUAUACAUCUGUUGAAGAGAAAUAAGAGGCAGAAAAAGAAUUUAGCAAUCGCCCAAAAAGUAUAAAUCUGAGUAUCACUGUUUUCUAAUUACAAUACCUUGAAUAAGUCAAGCACAAUAGGAAUGACAUCUUCUAUCUAAUUGGCUAUAAUUGUGUGACUGACAUAGCACCUUAAAUAUUGAGGAUGAGGCUUUUGUAUUUAUUUUUCCAUAGUUGAAUGUUUUGUGCUAAAAGUAGAAACAACCCUUCAUCAAAAUUCUACACUCUGAAGUGAAGCCCAAAUAGUAUGAUGCUAUGCCUACUAUUAGUUACAUUAUUUUGAUAGCUUUUUUUGACUAUCUGUACUUUGUUCUAUAUUCAGUGAACAAUAUCAUGAAUUUCAGGACAUGGAAAGUGUCUUUUCCUUUGUUUUGUUUUGUUUUAUUUUUAUUAUAUGGUAACUGCUGUUUUAAUUGCAGCCUUGUAGAAAAUUUGAAGACAACUGUUUCCAUUUCACAAUUCAUAUGAAAACUCCCUUUUCAUUUUGAUUAAACCAGGAGGCUGACAGUCAGUUAUAUUGUUAUUCUAAGCUUCAGUUGUUGUAUUGGCACCUAUUUUCACUAACAUCCCGUUUUAAAGAAGUUUUUCUGAAGAUGUGACACAAUAUGUGAUGCAAUAGCUCAAUUACCUUUGGACAUUUUAAUAUCCUUUUGUGCUUUUUUUCCUAGGUUCUGGCAAUUGUUAUAGAUAAGGAAACUUGACCUGAGAAUGAUAGUUUUUGAGGGACAAUACGAUUUAAAUAUGUUAUAUCUUGGCUGCAGAGGUAUUUCAACUGCACAUGGAAGAGCUUCGUGCAAAGCAAGAUGAAAUUUCUAAACGUGAUAAUGAAAUUAAACUUUUGGAAGCUAUAAUUCAAACCCUUGGUGGGAAAGAAUCUCAUUCUACAG